AACGCUAGCUACAGGCUUAACACAUGCAAGUCGAGGGGCAGCAUGAACUUAGCUUGCUAAGUUUGAUGGCGACCGGCGCACGGGUGAGUAACGCGUAUCCAACCUUCCGUACACUCAGGAAUAGCCUUUCGAAAGAAAGAUUAAUACCUGAUGGUAUGAUGAGAUUGCAUGAAAUCAUCAUUAAAGAUUCAUCGGUGUACGAUGGGGAUGCGUUCCAUUAGAUAAUAGGCGGGGUAACGGCCCACCUAGUCGACGAUGGAUAGGGGUUCUGAGAGGAAGGUCCCCCACAUUGGAACUGAGACACGGUCCAAACUCCUACGGGAGGCAGCAGUGAGGAAUAUUGGUCAAUGGGCGCGAGCCUGAACCAGCCAAGUAGCGUGAAGGAUGAAGGUCCUACGGAUUGUAAACUUCUUUUAUAAGGGAAUAAAGUCACCCACGUGUGGGUGUUUGUAUGUACCUUAUGAAUAAGCAUCGGCUAACUCCGUGCCAGCAGCCGCGGUAAUACGGAGGAUGCGAGCGUUAUCCGGAUUUAUUGGGUUUAAAGGGAGCGUAGACGGGUCGUUAAGUCAGCUGUGAAAGUUUGAGGCUCAACCUUAAAAUUGCAGUUGAUACUGGCGUCCUUGAGUACGGUUGAGGCAGGCGGAAUUCGUGGUGUAGCGGUGAAAUGCAUAGAUAUCACGAAGAACUCCGAUUG
rnacentral:rRNA from 1 species